rnacentral:rRNA from 1 species
CACUCCUGCGGGAGGCAGCAGUGGGGAAUUUUGGACAAUGGGCGAAAGCCUGAUCCAGCCAUGCCGCGUGCAGGAUGAAGGCCUUCGGGUUGUAAACUGCUUUUGUACGGAACGAAACGGCCUUUUCUAAUAAAGAGGGCUAAUGACGGUACCGUAAGAAUAAGCACCGGCUAACUACGUGCCAGCAGCCGCGGUAAUACGUAGGGUGCAAGCGUUAAUCGGAAUUACUGGGCGUAAAGCGUGCGCAGGCGGUUAUGUAAGACAGUUGUGAAAUCCCCGGGCUCAACCUGGGAACUGCAUCUGUGACUGCAUAGCUAGAGUACGGUAGAGGGGGAUGGAAUUCCGCGUGUAGCAGUGAAAUGCGUAGAUAUGCGGAGGAACACCGAUGGCGAAGGCAAUCCCCUGGACCUGUACUGACGCUCAUGCACGAAAGCGUGGGGAGCAAACAGGAUUAGAAACCCCUGUAGUCCCAUGAU